AAUGAACUCAACAAUUGACUUUAUAUUGUUUUGCACUUUUUGUUAUGAAGAGUGCGAUUUUGAGAUUUCGUGAAUGUAUUUUGAUUCUUCUGAGUAUCCUCCCUUGGCUGAUCCCUUCGGUUUUAAAGAGAAUGAGAUACGGAAAAUUAGGCAUUUUCUCAGUAUCUUCCACACUGUGCCACAGGAUACAACCAACUGCCGUGACAUUGCACGUCCUCUACUGAAGCUUGGAUAUUUAUUGACUAUUCACCCAAUAACUGUGGAAACAUCUUCAACAUGUGAAAUGAUAGGUUUAUGUCCUCGACCAGACGUUCAAUUUCCUUUAUCGAGUGAUCAUUCAUCCUUUCUUGUAAAGUCCAUGGUCCUCGGCAUAAAUUCCCAAAAUACAAAGUCUUCUACGUGUCUUGAAAUGUUACCACACCAGAUUGGAUCGCAUUUAAAUUGCUAAAUAUACUAUACAACGUUGAAUACAUACUUGAUAUGUAUCUAUAGGAAAAUUUACAGCUGAUAACCUUGGAUAAUUUAACUACAUAUUCUUCUCUAUAAAUCAUUUCUCUUAUAAAAAAAAAGUUAUUUAACGAAAGAAAUCGUUAGUUUAAUUUAAAAUCAAUCAUCUAAACAUUAUUAUUUAGUAUCUACAGUUCGAAAAGACCUUGUUUCUUAGUUUGAUAAGACCUUCACCUAAAUAACUAACAAAAGUUUUCAAUACUUUAACAAAUAGUAAACAAAAUAAUCUGUACUUAUUAUAAAAUUGAAUAAAACAAGUUUAAAUAAUGUUUGAAGAGAAUAUUUUUAAUAGAAAUUUGUGAAUUAUUUCACGUAUUUCUUUUAAUUGAACAGAGUUCCAGUUUUUAUUAUGGUCUAUACAUUAUAAAUAAGAUUAAAAAUUAUGUACAA